rnacentral:snRNA from 1 species
GUACUCGCUUCGGCGGUACAUAUACUAAAAUUGGAACGAUACAGAGAAGAUUAGCAAGGCCUCUGCGCAAGGAUGACACGCAAAAUCGUAUUU